UUCAAUUUCAGAAUGAAAAUUUUGUCAUCAUUUACUCAGCCUCAAUUUGUUCCAGUCCUGUAUAAAUUACUUUCUUCUGCUGAACACUGAAGAAGAUAUUUUGAAGAAUGUUGGUAACCAAACAGU